rnacentral:misc_RNA from 1 species
UCAAGCAGAAGCUAUGGCUCGUGCUGACAUGCUGAGAUUCCAGCCUGAGGUUUUGUUCAAUCACAUUUCUUGUCAUUUGAACUUUCUAAAAAUAACAAGAUGGAAAAUAGUUCUCUGUCGCACUCUCUCACUCGUAGGAGUAAAUAAGUAAAUUUUGGUCAGAUGGAAAUCUAAGGUUCUAACUUUUGGAGCUUUACAAAAUAGAGCUGAUGGAUUAGAAUCAUUGGAACGUCUUUGUUCAUUUUAUCAGGGUCAGUUAGUUGCUUAAUUGUUAGGACGUGCAUUGGUCACAAAUCAAUUCGGUGGGUAGGGAGUUCUAUCAUAUUAAAUGUUCAAGAUAUGUUCAUCCAAUAACCUAAUUUUACCUUUGUUAAACAGAGUGGACUAAGUCUGAGCUCUGAUGGGAUCUUGGG